AAGGGCUUAGCUUAAUUAAAGUAAUUGAUUUGCGUUCAGUUGAUGUGGAGUAGAGCUCUGCAGUCCUUA
ensembl:Mt_tRNA